rfam:Populus trichocarpa scaffold_14_contig_83, whole genome shotgun sequence.
CCAUUUUUAUGUGAUAUAUCACUGUUUAGUUAUGACGAAUCCACAUAUGACUGUUCAAAAGCACCUAUUACAUCAAGUCCGAGUAGUGUCCGACUACAUCUAACCCUUCAAAAUUAUGAUUUUUAUAAAC